UUUGAUUGACCAAAGACUCGGAAGGAAGUAUUAUAUUGAAUACACCGUAUGGGUAACCGUUAUCAUGUUUAUUCUUACAUCAGUAGAACCAUCGAGGUACAAUAAUAAUUUGGGAUUAUUGUGUGGCCAGUGAUGGAUUAUGUCGCGCGUUUUGUAAUACACGCAGUACUGUAAUGUGAAACGAGGUCAUUCUGUUGUGUACUUUAGUCAAAGGAAGAGAAAGAUGGAGUCCCUUAGAAUAAGAAAAUGAAACUGAUUGGAUUUCGUUUUAAAGGAAGAAGUCUUAGAGUCUGAAGCUAACGUGUAUACCUACGAGAGUUCUGACGAAUCACGAAAGAAAAGAAUAACUCAAAGUACUGGUGGCAUGGGUGCAGUGAAUUCGAAAUAUCAACAGCGACCCUCAAAUACAGAAUAUGAAAGAAAAAGACUUCACUAUCUAUGAGUACCAAUAUAAUCUUUAAGCAGUUCAGUGGAUUUUGAAUCCAGACCAGCCAGUCAAGAGAAUUAACCGUAAAUAGAAAAUUAGCAAAAGUGACAGCAACACACGUAUGUUUCGAUUGGUGUGAUAUAUUUUGGACAGGAGUAGCAGUUUGCGGUGCAUUGAUUCCAAAAUCUUGACAAAACAACAACUGAACACCUUUUUGUCUCUUUCAAGUAGGAUUGUGCUUUAAACUGACCAAAUCACAAACAUCGACCUGUAAACUAACUAUGUGCAUUUAUUGCUUUAUUGAACAUAACUGUGUAAACCUAAUUUUGUGACUGAAUUCAGUCAUUCUAUUUUUUAUUUUUUGCAGAAUUGGUCUAUUUUCAACAAAUUUUUACUGAAUUUGUGUUGACUAAAUUCAGUCAUAUGUUGUAUAGAUGUCAAUACUAUGUAAUCUCACUUGGUGUAA